AGAGUUUGAUCCUGGCUCAGGACUAACGCUGGCGGCGUGCCUAACACAUGCAAGUCGAACGAGAGUAGCAAUACUCUAGUGGCAGACGGGUGAGUAACACGUGGUCAACCUACCUUUAAGUGGGGGAUAACUAGCCGAAAGGUUAGCUAAUACCGCAUACGAUCUUCGCGUGGCAUCACAUGAAGAUGAAAGGAGCAAUCCGCUGAAAGACGGGACCGCGUCCCAUUAGCUAGAUGGUGGGGUAAUGGCCUACCAUGGCGACGAUGGGUAGCUGGCUUGAGAGAGCGACCAGCCACACUGGGACUGAGACACGGCCCAGACUCCUACGGGAGGCAGCAGUGAGGAAUUUUCCGCAAUGGGCGAAAGCCUGACGGAGCGACGCCGCGUGUGGGAAGAAGGCCUUCGGGUUGUAAAGCACUGUCGAGGGGGAGAAAGCCGCAA
rnacentral:rRNA from 1 species